rnacentral:lncRNA from 1 species
GGGUACGAAAGAGGAACCCGGGGGCGCGGGGUGAGUGAAGGGCUGGGGCGGGAGGGGGCGGCAGGCCGGACAAAGACCUGGAGGAAGGGGUUGUUGCGGGCCGCCUGAGGCCCAGCGGACUCCCCCAGUGUCCGGCCGUCCACCGCCGCCUCGCCCGGGAUCCGGGAGGAAGUGCGGUGGGCGCGCAGCCGGACGCAGGGCCAGAGGGCUGCGAGGAGGCGCCCUGGAGCCGGCAGGGCGCGGGCUCGGAGGAGGCCGGGGCGGCCCUGGGUCCCGGGGCUGCCCAGUAGUGCGGUCAGCGACUCGGGUCUCCAGCUCUGUUGGUCCACUACGCCGAAGCGGCGUUCAGCGUGCAGCUUGGGCCGGGUGUGGACGCGUUUCUUACUGCAYGUCGGCAAAUGCCCCCGCACCUCUUGGCUGAAUUCUGCACUGCAGAGCCCUGCAGAUUUGAAGCCCAUCAGAUGGCUGGCAGCGCUUGUUCUCUGUCAAAGCACAAGAUGGAAUUUUAGAUCAGGAGGCCUCAAACUGGAACAUCUCUGCAUUUUUCCUGAGGACCUGCCUGGAAAGGAAGUGGGGACUGCUGCUGUGGAAGUGUCCUUGGUGCCAAGGUGUCCUACAGUGUGCUGCUCCCACCCCGCAGCUGUGUUUAAGUGCAGAGUUUCCUGGAGGCCUUGGACCCUGGGCCUGCAGAGCUCAACGGUCAGGCCCAUGAACUCCACACCCUCUGGCCAGGCUUUCUGCUGAGCACCUGGGUGAGGAGCUGAUGCCUGCAGCUCUCAUCCUGGAGGGGCAGGCCCC